UACGUAGGGGGGCUAGCGUUGUCCGGAAUCAUUGGGCGUAAAGAGCGUGUAGGCGGCCCGGUAAGUCCGCUGUGAAAGUCGGGGGGCUCAACCCUCGAAUGCCGGUGGAUACUGUCGGGCUAGAGUGCGGAAGAGGCGAGUGGAAUUCCUGGUGUAGCGGUGGAAUGCGCAGAUAUCAGGAGGAACACCAAUAGCGAAGGCAGCUCGCUGGGACGGUACUGACGCUAAGGCGCGAAAGCGUGGGGAGCGAACAGG
rnacentral:rRNA from 1 species